rnacentral:misc_RNA from 1 species
GGUUUAUCAUUCAUCCAAACUCUUAAAGUUUUGGAGCAUCAAAUCUUAGACAAAAGCAGAUUCAAAAAUCUAGAGCCUUGUAAUUGAUUCCACUCUGAAGUCUGAACCGAAAUUCCAGGUGAACUAUGAUGUGUAUUUGCGCGCACCCAGCAGAACUUGUUAUGUCGGAAAGUGUUUUUGGUGGACAAAAUCUGUGGUCAAAUGAACAGUCCUUAGGAGAAGCAACAUAUCGUAUUCUCAAUUAGACUACUAAUGCAGGAUACCAAAUCCAGGCAAAUAACAUUGAUAUCUUUCCACUAGCUGUCUGCU